rnacentral:tRNA from 1 species
GUCGUGGUGGUAGGUGUACCUGCGGGCUUCAUAAGCGCUAAGUCACUGGUUCGAACCCAGUCGGUGCCACCA